UAAUUAUAAAUAUUCCUCUUUUCUGUUUCAUUUAAUAUUCAUUGAUUUUGUUGGGGUUUUUUUAAAUCAUUUUCCAUGGAAUAUGUUUAGCUGCUUUUUAUGCUUAUCAAGCUGGACCAAAGGUGAAAAACAGGAAGCAAAAACCUCUCUUAAUUUCUUGCAGUAAAAUUAAAGAAAUGCAGGAAGGUAGACAUCCUAAUAAAUAGUCUAUGGAAAAUAAUAAUAUUCUAUUGCCGAUCUACAUGAUAACAAGGUUCUGAUAUCUUAAUUUCGUGAAGAAAAACUUAAAUCUCUAACUCAUUAAAUUACAUCUAUGAUUUCAAACUGUAUGUGUCUCUGUCAAUAAGUGUGUGUACAUCAGUUCUCUUACAACUCUUAAUUGUUUCUGGCCAGGAAUUCUUCAGAAGAAGUCCACUAUUACUGAAAAUAAUAUUGUUGUAAUUCCCUCAAGUCAGGCAAUGGCCCCUUGGGAAGAAUAGCACAGAGUUCUAAAAGGCAGAAAAACAGUCAAUAUAUUAAUAGCCACAAUUUUUUUUCAGACAUUUUAAAUAGAAAAGCUGUGUCUGCACAUAACCUAUACCUGAAAUGAUAAGUGAACAAGCCUAGACUUAUCUGAAGAUUUUGGUAAUGUCUUGAAGCAUGUCUGCAUAACACCACAAGACUUUUCUGUCAACUCUCCACCAAAUCUUUCAUUGCCAAAAGAAAUAGUGAAAAAUUGUACAACUAUGUUUUCAUAAUUAAUAGAACUUAUUUCCCUCCAAAGAUAAAAUAUCUUGAAGUUUUCCAUGUGAUGACUGAUAUUAUGGUCUAUAAAACAGAACUUGGCGUCUAAGUUAAAAGUGGUAUCAAAUUAAGAAAAAUAUGUAAAGCACAAUAGAAAACAAAAUGGAUGAAAACUGUUGCUCAUCUUCAUUAGAAAAUAAACAACCAAACUGACUAGGUCAAUCAGCAUCUGAGAAUAAGAGAAUGGAACACUUUCUAGGUGCUGCACCAUCUGAAAGCUGCUAUCAGUAGUAAAUGCUAACAUCUCUUGGCAAGAAUAACUUGCAACUUUGAAGCCAUAUAAAUAUGAAAUUUGGAUAAAUGAGAAUAUGCAGAACUGUGCUAAGAAAGCCAAGGUAAAUAUCAGCUCCCCAACAACACUUCCAGGAAAAGGAGUAAUAAAUCUGUCUAAAACAAAGGACAAAAAAGAGGUAAAAAGUUGCAUCACAAGACACAAGAGGGGAUAUGUGAGUAAUAUGACUAGAAACAGAAACAGCUGCUGUAAAAACAUAGUAAAAUACUUUAUCAACUCAACAAGAUCCUAAGUGGUUAAUUUACAUUAGCUAAAGGAUAUACUAGCAAAAAAAAAAUAGAAACUCUACAAAAGACUACCAUGACAUAAAUUUGUAUACUUUUCUAAGCUUACUCUUCAUUUUCAUAUGAAGUCCAAGUUUCUUGCCUUCACUUUCAAAGCUCUGUUCAUAGCAUAACCUCCUCUUGUUUCAGACUUUUAAUCUAUAAAUACUCUGAAAUUUCUCCAGUCAACCUCUCUUGUCUACACAUGAGACAAUUGAAAAAAACCCACCUUUAUCUCAGCCCCAUCCUUUACUCAAAUAUGGAGGAGUUCUGUGCAAGUGCUGUGAAAAAGAAUUUUUCUUUUCCUCCUUAUUGCCCAAGAUGGGAUUAAGCUCUAUCAACAAAAAUCUUUACAGACAGUAAACUACUUUUUCUUAAACACCUUUGAUAUUAUCUUAUUAAAAAACAUUUAUGUAAUCACAAAAAUUCCUUAUUUACUUUACUACUUUGUGCCACAGGUAGAAAAUGUACCAUUCUUUUUUCUUUAGACUUUCUUUGCCCCUGAAGAUUUUUCAUUAUUAACUGUUUUUUAAAAAAGUUAAAAUAUAUUUUCAAUCUUUCUACAAGUGUCAUGUUUGCUAAAUUUAUCAAUUUUUGUUGUUUUUAUCCAUAUUAGCUCAGGCCAAUGCACAUCUUCUUGUAACGUAAGGCCCAAAAGUGGACAUGAUAACAAUGUUCAACAUUUUGGUUCUUACUUCUAUUUUCUUGUUCUGCAGGGUUUUGUGGAGGUUUUUUGUUUGUUUUGUUGGUUUUUUUUUUUCUUUUUUAUCCUCUUCCUUCCCCCUCCCCAAAUUCUCAGUGAAGUUUACCUGCUUUGCAAGAGCACGGGCUUUCUGAUUCUUUCUCAACUCAUAGCCUAGUUCAUAAUGUAAUUAACUGAAGAAUUUCAUUGGCUUUCUAAUUACCUAUUCCUUGAAAACUAUUACCUCUGAACUUGAUUUUUUUUUCAACCAUUUUCAAACUGUUUUAAUAAAUAUAGAUUGGAUUCUAAUUCCACUCUUCAUUGUUCUUACACUUGCUCACAGUUUCUUAUCUGCAAAGGCAAUAAGACUAUUCAUCAUUUAAUUCUUCAUUGAAAAUAGUGAAUUCAUCUAGACCCAGUGCUGACCUGGUAUAGUAUCCUAUACAUAACCGCUCUGGAAUGAAAUAACUUUUUACUCCUGCUUCUUUAUUGUUGAUUUGGCUACAGCUACAUUAUAGGCACCACAUGGCUUAUUAACAACAAUAAACUAACAUUAGAUAGAUUUUUCUGACAAUAGAGACCAAAAUAAGAGGUCAGAAAAACAAAGAUGAAAAUAUUACCCAAUAGUCUGCUUAACAGGAUGGAAGUAUGAAAAUAAAGGAGGAAUCCAAUAAAAUUUCACAGUUCUGAUUUCAAAUGUUAAAUUAGAAAAAAUAUGAAGCAAGUGUAUUCUCACACCCAGAAUAACACGUAUGCUGAUAGGAAUGUACAGAAAGAAAUAAAAUCAGAAAGCUGAUAUGAGCAGUUUAAGUAAAAUAUGUGUAAGAACUUCAAGUCCUUUUACUUUCCUUCUCAAAUAAAUAAAUUCAGCCUUAUUGUAUAUUUCUGAAAGCUACAAGUUUUUCAAAGGUAUGUAGAUAGAUGUCUAAAUGGCUAUGAAAAUAGAUACCUCCUAGAAAAGAGAUACUAAAAGACAUGAGAUAAUUACAGCUGCUGAGAUAUGUCAAAGAGUUUUUCAAUACUUCUCUUUACUGUUAUCCAGCAUAAGAGAUUGAAAUAUUUUGACUGUGUGUUUAAAGUAAAUGUAUGGAAUCUGUUAUAACAGGUGCAAUUUUGGGCAUCUGGAGGAAGAAACAUAACUGCCAUUUUAAAGUCUUUAUUGUAACUCAGUUUUGUGUGGCUUAAUGGCAUAUAGAUAUGCUAUCUAUACUCAGCUAGAAACAAACACAGCGGAAUUUUGUUGGGAGCAGAAGAAACUUCCAAAAGAACAAAAGAAGAAACAAGCCUGAAUUUUUCCCUUCCCAGCUGGGUCUUGCCAAGGGGCUGCCUUUGAUCCUCCCAUGAGCUUACAGCUCAGAACAAUGAGCUCUUGUGUCUCACAAGGAAAGAAGGUGAAAUUCCUCACUGUAACCACAUGCCAUCAGAGAAAUGUAGGAUGUAGUAGUAAGGUACUAACAGUCAAAGGGAUGUUGAAACUGCUUCUCCUCUUUCUAAUAAAUUUAUGGAUUUUUUUUUUUUUUGUCCUAGUUCAGCCUCUGUGUUUUCAGCUUUUUCAAAUAUACCCUACAUAUUGAAUUAGAAGGUUGAACUGAACUAACUGCUGUGCAUAUUCUGGUUUAGCACUAUACUAAAACAUCUGUUUCUGUGGUUUAACUCUGCUUUGCCUAAUAGGAUCUCUUAAUCAUACUAUUUGCUUUUUAAAGGUUUCUUAUCAACAAUAGGUUUUCACUCAGGACUCUCAGAACAAUUCUGUCACACAUCCACAGCAGCUGGUCAGAUUACUCCAGGCAAGCUUUGCUCUUUGUAACUGUGUCUGGAUUGCAUUGCAAUGGGCUUCACCAUCCAGCUGGAAUUAAAUUAACUGUUGAGGCUUCUCGAAGUUCUUCCUUGUGCAAGCUGGGAUUUUGCAAAAUUUCAGUGUAUGUUGCUACUUAAAAGCAAUUAUUUGUUUUAUUUUAAUAUGUUUAAAACAGUUGUAAGUCAAAUAGUUGUACUGUAUAAGCCUUGAUUUAUUAAAAUACUUUUUAAUCAGCCA